rnacentral:rRNA from 1 species
UACGGAGGGUGCAAGCGUUAUCCGGAUUCACUGGGUUUAAAGGGUGCGUAGGCGGGCAGGUAAGUCCGUGGUGAAAUCUCUGAGCUUAACUCAGAAACUGCCAUGGAUACUAUUUGUCUUGAAUAUUGUGGAGGUAAGCGGAAUAUGUCAUGUAGCGGUGAAAUGCUUAGAUAUGACAUAGAACACCAAUUGCGAAGGCAGCUCGCUGGGACGUCACUGACGCUGAGACGCGAAAGCGUGGGGAGCGAACGGG